rnacentral:rRNA from 1 species
GACGAACGCUGGCGGCGUGCUUCAUACAUGCAAGUCGAACGAGAAUCGGUAGCUUGCUAUCGAGGAAAGUGGCGGACGGGUGAGUAAUAUGUAGAGAAUCUGCCCUAGAGUGGGGGACAACAGUUGGAAACGACUGCUAAUACCCCAUAUGAGCGUAUCCGAAAUGAUAUUCUUGAAAACUCCGGUGCUCUAGGAUGAGUCUGCAUCUGAUUAGCUAGUUGGGGGUGUAAUGGACCACCAAGGCGACGAUCAGUAGCUGGUUUGAGAGGAUGAUCAGCCACAAUGGGACUGAGACACGGCCCAUACUCCUACGGGAGGCAGCAGUAGGGAAUUUUGCGCAAUGGGGGAAACCCUGACGCAGCAACGCCGCGUGAAGGAAGAAGGUCUUCGGAUUGUAAACUCCUGUCGUUGGGGACGAUAAUGACGGUACCCAACAAGAAAGCCACGGCUAACUACGUG